AAGGGCUAUUAAGGCAAGUUUAAAUGUCAGAUUGUUCAUAUCCUUAUCCCGAGAUGAACUUGCUUUAGUUCGAAGUCAGCAAACUAAAUUUAGUUCAUCAAACACUUAGGUGUCUUUCGACUUACUAUUCUUGAAAGCGUUGAGAAAAUAGAAUUCUAGAGGAAACACUUCAGUGAAGUACACCAUACCAAUAUGCUUAGCCGAUUAAACCAAUAGAAU
rnacentral:misc_RNA from 1 species